AAAAGUCAUGCAGUCUAUGUAUUUGGAGUGAGUGUAUUUGGAUGAUCCAGUCUAGUUGUUAAUGGAAGUUUAAUACUUGUUCAUGAUAAUGCCAUACACUUUUGUGUUUCUGGGGCUUAGAGCUCAGUCCUGAAGCAAUAUUACAAACUACCACCAAGUCUGAAGAUAUUCCUGUCAUAUCCCUUAUAAAGAGCCUGACUGAAUCAGCACCGGGGAGUCAGAUUACAGCUUGUUUUGGACUGGCAGGCUUCACCAUCAGGAUGAGGUGGGCAGGGACUGUUGCCUGAGUUGUGGAUGCAAGCAAGUUUGGAUUGCAAAACUGCACCACCCAGACUACCCUGGCUCCUGAUGGGCUCUGAGCAGCCCAUGGUGGGAAGAGACAUCCUGUUAGUGCUGAAAAGCAUCCUGCCUCAUCUCUUGGGUGUGAAGUGAGGCUUUGCCAAAAGGAUUCCCAUCUCCACAAGAACCACUCUGCCUUCCUAAUGUAUUUAAGAUGUUCUUAAAGUUUCUG
rnacentral:lncRNA from 1 species